rnacentral:rRNA from 1 species
AUGGCUCAGGAUGAACGCUGGCGGCGUGCUUAACACAUGCAAGUCGAGCGAAGCACUCUGGAAGAUUCCUUCGGGAUGAUUCCUCUGUGACUUAGCGGCGGACGGGUGAGUAACGCGUGGGCAACCUGCCUUGUACAGGGGGAUAACAGUUAGAAAUGACUGCUAAUACCGCAUAAGCGCACAGCAUGGCAUCAUGCAGUGUGAAAAAACUCCGGUGGUACAAGAUGGGCCCGCGUUGGAUUAGCUAGUUGGUGGGGUAACGGCCCACCAAGGCGACGAUCCAUAGCCGGACUGAGAGGUCGAACGGCCACAUUGGGACUGAGACACGGCCCAGACUCCUACGGGAGGCAGCAGUGGGGAAUAUUGCACAAUGGAGGAAACUCUGAUGCCAGCGACGCCGCGUGAGUGAUGAAGUAUUUCGGUAUGUAAAGCUCUAUCAGCAGGGAAGAAGACGACGGUACCUGACUAAGAAGCCCCGGCUAACUACGUGCCAGCCGCGGC